CCAUCUUCACCAUGGCCGCCGCGAAGUCCCUCGAAAAGGCUGCGGCGUUGGUGCUGUACUGCCGGACCAGCGCGUCCUGAGUGCCGUUGUUGAAGAGUUCCUGGUCCGAGUGGAGGAGGCCCUUCUGCGACACCAGGUUCUGAUAGUACGCGUUGUCGAAGGCGGUGGGUGUCUGCAGGUCGAGCGGCGCCAGGGUGUUGUCGCCGCCGGAGGACGGGCAGUUCUGCUGGGUCUGCGACGCGAAGCUGGCGUCGAUGUUGGCGUCGUUGUAGAUGUGGGAGCGGAAGUUGACGCAGCGGGCCUGACCGAUGGUGUGGGCGCCGGAGAGCGCGGUGAGGUCCCGCGCGUUCAGGUUCUUGUUGGCGAAGGCUGUCUUCAGCUGGGAGAGGCUGGAGCUGGGGGCCGGGAGGUUGGUGUUGGCCGCGCUUUGGCUGGCUGUGGUCGCGUCCCUGCGUCCCAGUUUCACCGUCCACGAUGGCCCUCCAAGCUGAAAAAGAUCAUUUCGUUUAUCAGCUAAGAAAGACAGAGAGAAACAGAGAAGAACAGAGAGCGAGAGAGAAGGGAUGCGCUACUGACCAAAACUACGCCGUCGCGGGCGGCAAGUGCGACGAUAUCGGCGCACGAGACGAUGCCAGGGCAGGCUGCUUCCACGUUGGAUUUGAUGGUGUCGAUCACAUCGUAGCCACGCACAGAGUUCGCAUUCGGUCCCGCAUUCUUCUCUCCUGUGAUCGUCGCCGUGUCAUCAAGAAGGAUCGACCCGUCGCAGCCCUGCGAGAACUCCAAUAUUCAGAACCGCAAACAGCACAUCGGAAACCAUGCAAUGUAAGAAAGGCGUCGCCCUACGUUAACGAAGCAAUCAUGGAAGAACAGCCGGAGGAUGGAGGCGCCCAUCCUCGGCUCGUUAUUGACGGCCUGCGUCAUGGCCGACCGCACCACAGUCUGCAGGUUGGGACAUGUCUUUCUGUAGAACGUCGGCGAAAGCUGCCCGUCUGCAAUGCAGACAAGUAGAGCGAGGAACAAGACGAUGGCCAUUCUCUCAGAGGACACAGCCAUGGGUGAUCGACGGACAACCUGAUACCACCCAAGUGAACCACCAAAGGAAGCCUAAGCUGAGGUGAGAAGAAAGCCUCUCCAUGGCAAGGUAUAUAUAGCAGUCACCGUGCUUGCAUGGUUCUCGAAUAUCAAGGGUACGUGGAAUUCAAACAUGGCUGCGCAAAGACCUGCAUGUCACAUGUACUCGCCAUCCAAUUAGCUAAGUGUUAAGAGUCAGCAAAUGCUAACCUCGAUGGCCACACACAGCUGCCUUCACGCGACUCUCCGUGGAAUCGAACGUGUUCGAAGCAUGAGGGUUCAAUUUGGCUAGUACUAUGUGUGCUGCGGAGUUGGCCACAUCAUAUAGUUUAUGGCAUGAUUGCAUGGAGACAACUAACAACUGGACGAGCAUCAAGAAGAGCAGCCUUCUUCUUUGACUACGUAAACGAAUCUGCAUGCAUGUGCGGGACGGAUCGGGGCCCACAACGUUGACUCUACAUGCUUUGACUGGCAGAACUCUUGUAUGGAUGCCCGUGACGAGCUGCGAUAUGCAUGACAGCCUUCUUCCACCCGACUUAGAGAGUGAUGGAGUAGUCUUGGAUUCUUAUGCAAACUAUUCAAACAGUCGAUAGAGGUGCCUAACUGGUUCGAUCUAACAUUGUCUUCAUGCAUCAUUGCAUUGAAGGCUGCAGCUCUUCCUUGAAUUGGGUAAUAAGACAAAGGGUGAGUGAGGUGCUAAACAUGUCGGUGAGAAAAUAAUAGUAUUAAUAAUAUAAUCAAACUAUCAUUUAUGCUUUGAAAUUUCACGAGGUAGCAGGCAGGAACAUGUUAGCUUCAGUGUUCGUCAAAUAGCUGGAGUCUACUGAUGGUCAGGGAUGUUCUUCUACGGUGCUCAGUGGACAUGACCUGUCUCUCCUAAAUGCAGGGUUUUAUAUUCUAUACCACAUGUUGGAGACCGGCAAAUUUCAUGUUACAAGUGCAUCGCAUAUGAUUAGUUUUCUGUACGAAAGAUGGAAGCCAUAAUCUUUUUUUUUAUAUACGAUAAAUUAUAGAAUUAAUCUCACACAAUCCUCGGCCGCAGUCAUGAUUCUCCACACGACUUAGGUCACUAUACACGGGCGGAUCUUAAAGAGGGCUACGGAUCACAAAUAUGAAAAGAUCGGAACCGUCAAAAUGAUAUCAACGGUCUAACGUUCGUGUGAGAGACGCGAACGCUUUUGGAACCGCGAGCCCAUUAGCCCAAACCGUGAUUCGAUUUCGAUCCGUGAGCCCGAUGUGAACAAGUCACGUCGAUUUGGUCGGAGUCGAUAUCGGCUCUUAACAGAUUACAUGAAGCAGCAAGCAAUAUGGUUCUCGAAAACGUCAUCGACCAAGUCGAUGGUCACAUUCAUCUACCAUCACGCACGCAAAUGUUGACUCGAAAUGGAUUGGACGUUUUCGUGGUAAAACAUGGUUGAAUUUAGUGCACUGAUGAUGCAAUCCACUUCCGGAUUCGGAACGUUAACUCGGUUGACCAAGUCAAACCUGCCGCAAUUGGUAACCGCAUGGAAGCGGUCAACGUCAAUCGCUGCAUCAAGAUGUGUGCCAUGGAUCAUGCGGAGCAUCCGCGCAAGAAAGCUGUAGUUGAGAUCUCAUGUGAUGCAUGUUGUUUUCUUUAUUAUUAUUCCCCAACACACAACGAGCGUUAUUACCUGUAAUGGUGAAUACACACUUGGAUAAUCGUGCUCAUGUACGUAUAGUUAGGCCAUCUACGUACGCCACGUCACAUCAGUUGUUGACCUUCCUGCAGUUCAACCUGAUCUCCCCCUUGGUCCCUGUGAGCGGGCUGAUGUUUCCCAUCUUCACCAUGGCCGCCGCGAAGUCGCAGCUGAAGGCCGCCGCGUUGGUGCUGUACUGGCGGACCAGCGAGUCCUGAGACCCUUUGUUGAAGAGCUCCUGGUCCGAGUGCAGCAGGCCCCGCCGGACCACCAGGUUCUGGUAGUACCGGUUGUCGAAGGUGGUGGGCGUCUUGAGGUCGAGCGGGGCCAGGUUGCUGUCGCCGCCGGAGGCGGGGCAGGUAUGCUUAUGGGUCGACGCGAAGCUGGCGUCGACGUUGGCGUCGUUGUAGAUGUGGGAGCGGAAGGUGGUGCAGCGGGCUUGGCCGAUGGUGUGGGCGCCGGAGAGCGCGGUCAUGUCGCGGGCGCUCAGGCCCUUGGAGGAGAACGAUGAGAUGAGCUGGGAGAGGCUGGAGCCGGGGCUGGGGAGGUUGCUGUUGGCCGAGCUUUGGCUGGCGGUGGUGGCGUCCCUGCGUCCCAGUUGCACGGUCCAUGUUGGUCCCCCGAGCUGCAAGGAACAUUUACCGCAGUCAUCAGUGAACAUCUCACAUCCAUCGCCAUCGCCGUCAUUAACACUAUUGUCUUCGCAUCAUUGAUGCGACAGCUUGAUGAUGAGCCGAUGUUUCCAUCACGAUACAUUUACACAAGUAAUUCUUCCAUUCUUGGGGAAGCGCAGGGGUCGCGGUACUCACCAGCACAACACCGUCGCGCGCGGCGAGCGCGAGGAUGUCAGCGCACGACACAGUGGCUUUGCACGCGGUCUCGACGUUGGAUUUGAUGGUAUCGAUGACUUCAAAGCCGCGGACGGAGUUGGCGUUCGGGCCCGCGUUCUUCUCGCCGGUGAAGGUAGAUGUGUCAUCCAGAAGAAUCGAUCCGUCACAGCCCUGAGAAAGCGAUCGAGAGAACAAAAUAUGACAUCCAAAUGGAUCAGGUCAAAAGAUCGAACAGUUUAUGAUGUCACUGAGAUCAUAGCACAGUCGAGUGUAGAGAACAGAGUAGAUCGACACACUUUGACAGUGGUCAAAACUAAAGAAGGACAAAAGGAUGCCAAUCAAGAUGUACUUCGAGUUGAGCUCAAUAAAUCAUGACAGCUAACUCAAUCUGGCGACGGCACGCCACAAAUCACCAUUAAGAAUCUCUAUCGCAAGAAAUUACUGGGCGUACUCUGUUCAUAUCUUUCUUCAUAGACCAAACGAUCACAAACAAAGAGACGGAUUGCGUUGGCAGAAGCAUUUCCAUGGUAUCUCUGUGACAGAUAAGAAGGAAGAGGAGAGAGACGACGCAUACACUGACAAAGCAGUCGUGGAAGAACAACCGGAGGAUGGACGCGGCCAUCCUCCUCUCCUUGUUGACGGCCUGAGUCAUGGCCGACCGCACGAUGCUCUGCAGAUUGGGGCACGUAGAGCUGUAGAACGUCGGCGACAACUGUCCAUCGGCGGCGCAGGCAAGCAGAGCAAGGAAGCAGAAGGCGAGCACUCUGUCAAGGCAGAACGCGGCGGCCAUGGUUGAUCAACAGGAAGCUCGAGUUGGAGAUGGGAAGAGCGUCCCGAGACGGCCGGAUAUAUAUAGUACUGCACCCGCUUGCAUGGCUUCAAACAUUGAUGCCAUCAAAUUGUUCAGAUAUAAUUAAGCAGCAGUAAAUGAAAACUUUAAUCCCCAUUGAUUACGCGCAACCACAAUCAAUAGAUUUGGUGCAGAAUUGAGGCCACAAACAGUGUUCAAAAGAAGGGCAUUAGAACGCCAGGACCACAUGAACCUUCAGGCUACGUUUGGGAAACCUUUGCAUAAUGGAAAAGAUGGUGAGGAGGAAUCAAUUACAAGCAAAUAUACUAUCCACUAUUCACCACAUGAGAGGCUUGAUACUCGAAGAAAAAGAAGAAUAUGAAAUUUUCUUCUUGUCAUUUAUGACAAGUAAGUCAAUUAUAAGUUUUCUUCUUGUCAUUUAUGAUGAUAAAGAUAAUUAAUAGAUUCCUUUUCAUCAUUUAUGCGGAGAAAGAUAAUCUAAAAACUUACAUUUAAUAUAAAAAUAAAAGUAUCUUUUUUUGGACCAAUCAAACUUGAAAUUGAGAUGACUAAUUGCAUAGGAAGGAUUAGGUUGAGAAGCCUAAUCCGACAUCGAUCUUUGCAUAAGUGACACUCUAGGAGCUUAAUAGUUCGGAUCAUGUCCAAUCAAGAUAUCAAUGAUUUUUUUAUAUGAAUUAAUCUUAAAUAAAUAACAAAGUUAUACGUGAAACAACUGAUCUGAAACUUUUUACUUUUUGUUGUGUUGAUGGAGGAUGGCGUGACAGCGAGUUUGUUCUUGAGGUUGAUCGAGGCAGUGAGGUUGGAUCAGUCUCUUUUCCAAAACAGGUCAAAUUAGUCUUCAAAAGCAGUAAGCCGGACAAAUCCAUCCAUCCAGUGGAGAGAUGGUGUAAGACUGCCCGAGAGGGAGGGGAAACGAGAUAGGAAUGGUCCAUUUCCUAUGACUACAUACAACAACAAAAGAGAAGCAUGAUUCGUUGUCAUCGGAUCAAGAAGGAUAGCAGCCAUCAAUGUGUGGUAAGGAGGAGAAUCUUUCAUCUAUAUCAGGUUGGGCAUAAACCUAAGUGCAAGUCAAGUCGGUGACAAAAAAUAUACCCUACUUGUUAUAUAUUAUUCGUGUUUGCACACUAAAAAUACGACCUCUUAGCCAUGGCAAACAGGUGCAAAGCUUAAGCUUGCCAUUUCUUUAUGGGAAUGGUGUGAUUGUAGAGGGUGGAGGUGCACAUGCAAUGUACCAACACAAAUCUAGCGUCACGUUGCUAUGUUUCCUUUAUAAUUGAGAUGCCCUUUCACAUGCAUGUCGCAUAUAGUGUUGCCACAAUUAUGAAUGCAAGGGCUUUUAACAUACCUAUAUAUAUAUAUAUUAUUAAUGUGUUUACAUCAUAGGUGAUAUGAUAAAUAUUCUAUAGUGCAUGAAGUUUCGAGGAACACCAUGACGAGGACAUAUUUUACGUUGACAGGCAAUAAAGAACAACAUAUAUGCGCAUGCUUGUCGUUCUCAUCUGCCACUGCAAGACCACACCACCGAGUGCACAUUCUCCAUUAUGAGGAAUCCAAAGUAGCACCGACCAUCAUCCACUCCCAAAGAGAAGAAGAAGAAGAAGAAUGUUAGUGGAAACUCAUCUUGCAUUGCUUGGUGGAUUAUUCAUACGAGUGAUCUCUUCCUAUUCUUGCUUGAUUCACGAACAAUUCCAAGGAGAAAGAAGACAAAUAUACAUGGAUGAGCAAUGAUAGCAAAGAACAAAUAGAACCGAGCAACUCUAUCCACAAAUAGUACUACUGCAGAAUGCAAAGAAUCCUUCAGUUCGUCCUCCGGCAGUUCAAUCUGAUCUCCCCGAGAUAUCCCGUCAGUGGGCUGAUGUUUCCCAUCUUCACCAUGGAUGCCGCGAAGUCCGUGGCAAAUGCCGUCGCGUUGGAGCUGUAGAGCUGCACCAGCCAGUCCGCUGGCCCGUUGUUGAAGAGCUCCUGGUCGGAGUGCAGGAGCCCCCUCCGGCCCAUCAGGUUCUGGAAGUAGCUGUUGUCGAACCGGGUGGGGCUGGUGGAAUCCAGCGGGGCCAUCGUGGCGUCGCCGCCGACGGCCAGGCAAGUCUGCCUCCGGAGCCACGCGAAGCCCGGGUCGAUGUUGCUGUCGUUGUAGACGUGGGGGCGGAAGUUGCUGCAGCGGGCGCUGCCGACGGUGUGAGCGCCGGAGAGCGCGGUCAGGUCGCGCAUGUCGAGGCCCUUGGCCGCGAACGUCGACAUCAGGGUGUAUGCGCUGGCGGAGGCGGGCGGGAGGUUAGCGACGGCCGCGGAAAUGCUCGCCGUCCUCGCGUCCCGGCGGCCCAACGCCACCACCCAACUUGGUCCACCGAGCUGCAUGCGGAAAGCCCAUCAGUUUUACGUGUCCAAUGCACUGUUAUGGAAUGGAUAGCAUGAGGCCGACCAAGUUGACCCCGUCGCGGGCGGCGAGGGCGAGGAUGUCGGCGCACGACACCACCGCUCUGCAACUCGCUUCGACCUGGGCCUUGAUGGAGUCGAUGACUUCGUAGCCGCGGAGGGAGUUGCGGUUCGGCGGCGCGUUCUUCUCGCCGGUCAUGGCUUGUGUGUCAUCGAGGAGGACGGAUGCGUCGCAGCCCUGAGGAAAAGGUCAAAUACACUGGUCAACGAAACAUCCACCAUCGACAAAGAAUUCCUCUGUGCUAAUUCUUCUUUUCACCCAUUGGGACACUCCAGGCUGUAAAGAAGCUUAUGCGAUCAAAUCAUUAGCUGUCCGAUGGACGUUUCCUUUCCGACACCGCAGGGAAUUAGAACCUUCCAACCACCACAUCCCGACCGUUCAUUCCCUAAAUCUUUCGAUCAACUGAAGUUUGGAAUUAAUCUUACCGACAUCGAACAGGAAGCAAUCUAACUAAGAAGUCAAGCAGACAAACUUAUCCAUCUAAAGCAUGGAGAAGCAAUCGAUGCCUCACGUUGACGAAGCAGUCGUGGAAGAAGAGGCGGAGCAUGGAGGCGCCCAUCGUAGGGUCCUGGCCGACGGCCUGGGUCAUCGCCGACCGUACGAUGCUCCGCAGGCUGGGACAGGUCCAGUCGUAGAAUGUGGGUGACAACUGCGCACGUACGCUGCAAGCCACCAAACAGACGGUAGCUACCGCAAGGAAGGCGGAGCAGUACGAAGCCAUGAUCGAAGCGAAGCCUAA
rnacentral:lncRNA from 1 species